rnacentral:lncRNA from 1 species
CAUCAGCAUGUAUAUAUUAAAUACUUCUGCUAAAAAAUUGGCUAUGCCAACCAACUAAUCAGUAUCUGUAUAUUAAAUACUGAACCAUGUUAUAACACCACCUUGUUAUGGACAAAAAUAAGUCAUUACUUAUAUUAAACUCAUUAAGGCCAUAAAAAAAAUGGCAAGGAAAACGGGCAAGUACAUUCUCAAAACGGCUAAAACUUAAGUAUUCACUAUGUGGCAAGCACUAUGUCAAAUGUUUUAUGUAUUAGUUCAUUUAAUCUUCAUCACAAUUUUGGAACGUACAUACUAUUAUUCUCCCAUUUUAGAGAUGAAGAAGGUGGAGUCACAGAGAGAUUAAGUAAUUUGCCCAGCUGUCAUGGCAGGCCCGUGGAUGAAAGUAACGUCACAAAACAGCACAGGUGGGCAGUGUAUUUGCCACACCAAGAGCUGAAAGGGGGCAAUAGCUGUCAGACUUCACACAUUCUGGUCCCACCAACAAGGCCGUGUCUAUGGGAGACAGACACAUCAGAUCCAGAUGCUCUUCAACAGUUGUCACCCAGCAACCUUCUGAUUAUCAUCUGGCUUUUCAUGUCAGUCUUCCCAAAGGACGAGAAUGUUCUGAGUGCAGGGAUGUGAGUCUUCGGAUCCUGGAGAUGGUAACGUCUUCUUACAAAUGAACAGACUGAUGUUUAUCUACACACGCCCUGCCGCAAGAAUUGACAUCACAUCCUACAUGAGAUGUAAGGGGAAGCUAGAGGGCUGGGUGAGCAGCACACCCCUGGUUGUACUCAAAGUCUCUCCCUCUCCUGACCCUCUCAUGAGCUUGGAUCAUGCCACUGUGCCUUAGACUAGAGAGUCCCCAGGAGGCUCCAUCUUCCUUCAAACACACAGACCUUGGUGGACCACUCUGGAGUUUCCAACCCAUGUCCACCAGCACAUCGCCCCCCAAGUGGGUCAUAGUCUCAACAAAUCCUGAAAACAACACUAACAAUAACUAUAUCAAAACCCUGGCAUGGCUGUGAUGAGGAAACUGAAGCUCAGAGAGUUUAGGUGACAGUCAGUGAGACACAGCUGGUGCUAAGCAGGACCAAACCCGAGGUUCCUGGUUCCCGGUUCUGUGCUGCCUCCUAGUGGUCCACUGGUAAUGGCCCUACUUCCAAAGGCGCCAAGACAGAAAAGAAAUGUUCUCUUCCUCCCUUCCUUCCCUCGGGAGAUGAAAUAGAAGAACAGUAAACUAUUAGACUAACUCAGGCGAUGAGUCAGAAAGAAAUCUUCUUGUCUCUAUUUUCCCCUAGUUUUCAAACUAGCUCUUCCAGAUAUUUUGAGCAAUGAUGGCCCUAUCAAAAAUUCUUCUAAUUUAACCAAAAUGCCAUGAUUGCAUUACACAGAAACUUAAAAGACCCAUUUGGGGAUUAUUUGUUACUUUAAAAGGUGCAA